rnacentral:rRNA from 1 species
AACGAACGCUGGCGGCAUGCCUAACACAUGCAAGUCGAACGAACUCUUCGGAGUUAGUGGCGCACGGGUGCGUAACGCGUGGGAAUCUGCCCUUGGGUACGGAAUAACUCAGAGAAAUUUGUGCUAAUACCGUAUAAUGACUUCGGUCCAAAGAUUUAUCGCCCAAGGAUGAGCCCGCGUAAGAUUAGCUAGUUGGUGGG